rnacentral:rRNA from 1 species
CACGUAGUUAGCCGUGGCUUUCUCAUAAGGUACCGUCAAUUGAUAGUCAUUUCCUCCUAUCACCUUUCUUCCCUUAUAACAGAAUUUUACAACCCGAAGGCCUUCUUCAUUCACGCGGCGUUGCUCGGUCGGGCUUUCGCCCAUUGCCGAAGAUUCCCUACUGCUGCCUCCCGUAGGAGUCUGGGCCGUGUCUCAGUCCCAGUGUGGCCGUUCACCCUCUCAGGUCGGCUACGCAUCGUCGCCUUGGUAGGCCUUUACCCCACCAACUAGCUAAUGCGCCGCAGGCUCAUCCAUCAGUGAUGCCAGGAGCAUCUUUAAACUUUCGUCCUAUCCGGUAUUAGCGAUCGUUUCCAAUCGUUGUCCCCGUCUGAUGGGCAGAUCACCUACGUGUUACUCACCCGUUCGCCGCUUCCCACCGAAGUGGUUCGCUCGACUUGCAUGUAUUAGGCACGCCGCCAGCGUUCAUCCUGAGCCAGGAUCAAACUCU